GAGGUGGGUUUUAUACCUUUUUGAGAAGUCUCGCUGGAAUGUGAUUGAAUCACGGUGGCAGCUGAUGUACUCUGAGAAGACACUGCUACAGAUGGACAUUUCUCAGUAAUCAGGUUCUACAGUCCAUAUCCUGAAGCAGUGUUCCUGCCAGAGCACACAUAGAAACACUCAACACUGAGGGCUGAGAAAAUGGCUUGCUGUGGCUGCGAUGGUCCCAUUUAGAAUUCUGCAAAUAUGUAAUCCACUUAAGAGUUUGGGGACAUGUCUGCCACUCUGAAGCAAUAUCUGAGAUGGAGAAGUGAACAUAUUUUGAAUGACACAAAUGGUUCCCAUCCACUGAAAGCAAUGACAGGAUGCUGCUCACAUUGUAGCACACAUCAGAGUCCCCAGGAGGAAUUCCCAAGACAGAUGGCUAAUCCAUUCAGUCCCUGAGCUUCUGAGCCAGUAUCUGGGUGGGGCCUGAGAAUCUUCAGGUCUACCAACUCCCCUGGGAAACGCUGCUGCUGUGAGUGCUGAGACCACCAUUGAGAGCUGCUGCUCUUUGACAAAAGUUCUACUCCCACAUGCUGUGGGGAAGAGGCCUUCUGUGGUAGCAGACAGAGAGCAGCGGUUUGAGGCAUUUGGGAUGAGCUGUUUCUUGGCAGCCAUCCUUGCCGCUCUGUUUGAAUUUUCAAAAGUGCACAUUUCUUCCCUGGUGUCACUGCUUAGUGAUAAAGUGGCAUUCUGGCUGUUUAAAAGACAUGGUGAGGCAUGCCUGAAAUUCCAAGACUGUCGAGGUAAAGACAGGAGGAUGGAGAGUUUGAGGCCUACCUGAGUUACAGAAUUUUGUCCUUUUCCUUGAGUCUCUGUUUAUCACUGUCACAUGAUGGUAGUCACGCUCCUUUAGGUACGUUAUUAUUGUUUUUAAGUGUGCCUUUAUCUUGGUAAAAUGAAAUAUGCUUUGAGUGUACAAGGAAAAUAGAAUUUUCAUCACUUAAAAG
rnacentral:sRNA from 1 species